rnacentral:rRNA from 1 species
CACACGGUAAACGAUGGAUGCCCGUUCUGCGGCCUUAUGGCUGCGGGACCAAGCGAAAGCAUUAAGCAUCCCACCUGGGGAGUACGCCGGCAACGGUGAAACUCAAAGGAAUUGACGGGGGCCCGCACAAGCGGAGGAACAUGUGGUUUAAUUCGAUGAUACGCGAGGAACCUUACCCGGGCUUGAAUUGCAGACUGAUCCGGCAGAGAUGCCGGAGUCCUUCGGGAAGUCUGUGAAGGUGC